rnacentral:rRNA from 1 species
UACGUAGGGAGCAAGCGUUGUUCGGAUUUACUGGGCGUAAAGAGUGCGUAGGCGGUUAUAUAAGUCAAAGGUGAAAUCUCCACUUUCAAGGUGGAAACUGCCUUCGAUACUGUAUAACUAGAGGGCAAGAGGGGGAAAUGGAACUCUGGGAGUAGCGGUGAAAUGCGUAGAUAUCCAGAGGAACGCCGGUAGCGAAGGCGAUUUCCUGGCUUGCAUCUGACGCUGAGGCACUAAAGCUAGGGUAGCGAUCGGGAUUAGAUACCCCCGUA